rnacentral:rRNA from 1 species
UGAGUAACCUGCCCUUCACUCUGGGAUAACUCCGGGAAACCGGGGCUAAUACUGGAUAUGACUCGAACAGGCAUCUGUUUCGGGUGGAAAGAUUUAUUGGUGGAGGAUGGGCUCGCGGCCUAUCAGCUUGUUGGUGAGGUAAUGGCUCACCAAGGCGACGACGGGUAGCUGGUCUGAGAGGAUGGCCAGCCACAUUGGGACUGAGACACGGCCCAGACCUCCGUACGGGAGCA